UACGAAGGGGGCUAGCGUUGCUCGGAAUCACUGGGCGUAAAGCGCACGUAGGCGGAUUGCUAAGUCAGGGGUGAAAUCCUGGAGCUCAACUCCAGAACUGCCCUUGAUACUGGGAGUCUCGAGUCCGGGAGAGGUGAGUGGAACUGCGAGUGUAGAGGUGAAAUUCGUAGAUAUUCGCAAGAACACCAGUGGCGAAGGCGGCUCACUGGCCCGGUACUGACGCUGAGGUGCGAAAGCGAUGGGG
rnacentral:rRNA from 1 species